rnacentral:rRNA from 1 species
CACGGGGGGAGCAAGCGUUGUUCGGAAUCACUGGGCGUAAAGGGCGUGUAGGCGGUCAAGUAAGUGGAAUGUGAAAUCCCUCGGCUUACCCGAGGACCUGCAUCCCAAACUGCUUGGCUUGAGUAUGGGAGAGGAUGAGGGAAUUCCUGGUGUAGCGGUGAAAUGCGUAGAUAUCAGGAGGAACACCGGUGGCGAAAGCGCUCAUCUGGCCCAAUACUGACGCUGAGGCGCGAAAGCUAGGGGAGCAAACGGG